rnacentral:lncRNA from 1 species
ACACAUCAAUUUUUUUCGUCUUUUAUUUUGUUACGUCCGUUUUCCGUUCCUUUCUGGAGGCCCUGGCUGCUUCCAUUAUGUAAGCCUAAUUCAUUUCCCUAAUGAAUGAAGCAGGUAGCUCGCUACCUAUUUCUCAAAAAAAAAAAAAAAACUAGAUAAAUUGAAGAAAAAAAUACAGAUAUCGCCUUUCGGCUUAUAAUAAAUUGCGAUCAAAUUCUAACCUCUGCUUAAAUAAAUAUAUAUAUAUAUAUAGAGAGAGAGAGAGAGAGAGAGAGAGAGAGUAAGUCUUCUGUACUUUCGAAAGUACGGAGACCUCCGUACUUGUAAGUUAUUUUCGAUGAUAGGAAAUUCGAUUCGACGAUCGGCUCCGUUAAGUAUAAUCUAUCCUAUUAGAACUAUUUAGAAAUCAAAUUUUAUAAUUUUUUGACAUCAUUUACCAAGCGAUUAAAAAGUCUAAAAAAUAACUAUUUUAAUGACCGAUGUGGCACGUUUUUAAGUUCAACGGUGUAGAAAUAUUCAAAUUAGAUGAAAAUUUAAUAGAAAAUUCUACUUAACAUCAAUAGUAAGACCAAUACUUCCGAUUUGAAAUUUGAGUCCUUUAUCACUGUUUUUUAUGAGAUUUUCAUUUUCAGCCGUUCAUUUUAAGGCUACUGGUUUACUGGACAAACGAAAUCAAAAAAUUAUGAAAUUUGGUUUCUAGGUAGUUCCAACAGCGUAGAUCAUGUCUAACGGAACCGAUCGCGGAAUCGGAUGUCUAAUUAUUGAAAACAACUUACAAGUACGAAGGCUCCCGUACUUUCGAAAGCAUAGGAGCCUAGCUCUCUCUCUCUCUCUCUCUCUCUCUCUCUCAAAAUAUAUAUAUAUAUAUAUAUAUAUAUUGAGAGAGAGAUAGCAUGUUAUCUUUUUUAUUUAUUUCAUUUAGAAAUAAACUUAGUUGAAAAUAUGAAUCAACUAGCUAGGAUUCGAACUUGGGACUUUAGAUACCAACCACCAACUAAGCCUUUGCCAUUUGCGCUAGGGACAGUCGGUACCUCUGCCUAAAUAUAACUGUUAUUUUUAAAUAAAUAAAUAGCCACCCUACCUUACUUGUUAACACCGAUCAGUACUAAAAAAUAAUAUAAUUCAAAUACAGAUGUUUUUUUUUUUCAUUUUUAGAAUACCGAUCUUAAUAUAGUUCAUUGUCUUCUCUAAGUUGUUUAAUGAAAUACUGUUUUUUAAUUAUACCAAUUUUCAUCGAUUGGAUUUUUGAAAAUUCUUUGUAGGUGGAAAAAAAUAAGUACUUAUCGUACUUGUUUUACUAAGACGCACUUUAUAAAUAAACUUUAAGCAUUCAUUUGGUUCGAAAUUAAAGGGUGGAAUAACUCCUUAACCCCAAAGUUAUUUUCAAACACCUAAUUUGGAGAGCGGGGUUAGCUAACACUCAAUUUGGAGAAUGGAGUUAGCUAAUCCUACUCUAAAUGGACUAUUCUGGAAUAGUUAAUUUGGGCCCACCCCACCCCACUACUCCAACCAAACAAAACUAUUUUACUCACUAUCCUUCUUUUCUCACCUACUCCAAUCAAAUACUAUUUUAUUUAUAUCUAGACUAAACUCAAUUCUCAACCAAAUAUAAAAUUACUCUAAUCCCAUCUUAAUCCUGAAUUUAACUCUAUUUUUGAAAUAACAAGUUUUUACUUAAAUCCGAACCAAACCGUGGCUAAAAAUAAGUAGAGUACUUCAAAAAC